UCUCCUGUGGCUUAGUGAUAAAGAAUCUGCCUGUAAUGCAGGAGAUGCAGGUUCGAUCCCUGAGUGGGGAA
rnacentral:tRNA from 1 species